rnacentral:lncRNA from 1 species
UUGUGAGCUACCCGAUAUGGGUGCUCAGAGCUGAACGCAGGUCCUCUGGAAAUGCAGCGUAAGCCCUUAACCACUGAGCCACCUCUCCAACUCCUUCCAUGUCUAUGUGCUGAAGGGAUCAGAUCAUGUGGGGCACAGAACAUUCAACAUUGUAGAGUAGGCUGACUAUAAAUCUGUGGUGUCCUAAUCUCUUUGUAUAUAUCUGUGGAAUUUUCAAUGUAAAAAUACCUAAGCAUAUAGAUACAGUAUGUAUAAAAUAACAUACCCCAUCUACAAGCUGCCAUGAUACCUUUUUAAAAAACAAAUCAGGGCUUUAGGAUGUAGUUCAAUCUGCUUGAAAUGAGUGACCCUCCGGCCUUGGCCUUCUGAGCUUGGGGAUCACAGGAGUGCUCUGGAAGUGACAGGCAAAUUUCCACUCUCUGUCACCAUUUACCCCUUGAUCUGAAUAUGACUGCUGUGUUACACCUGACUCCAAAUGCUUGCAGCUUAAAAUAACUUGUCUGUCGUUGUUAUGGGUCAGAGACUUAGGACAGGCUUGUCUAGGCAGUGUCACUUGAGGUCCCAUGCUUGGCGUGGUUGGAUUAUUUCUAGGCUGUGUCCUCGGGAGACUUAUCUGGGCUACAAGUGCUGUUGAUAGCAACAGGCUGUGAAGCCUCAAAGGCCAGAGCCUACAGUCACCCAAUGUUCACUCAAAGAUCCAGCCCAAGGUUCCCAACUAUGGUGCAACCCAGAGCCUCAGAGGUGGACAACCAUGGGUUAGUUUGUGGGGGAUGUAUGUAUGUAUGUAUAUCACGUAUGUAUGUAUGUAUGUAUGUAUAUCAUGUGCAUAUCUGGUGCCCACAGAGGUCAGAAGAUGGCACUGAUUCCCCUGGAACUGGAAUUACAAAUGCCUGUGAGCCACCAAAUAGAUCCUGAGAACGUUAGCCAGGUUCUCUGUAAGAGUAGCAAGUGUUCUUAACUGCUGAGUCAACUCUCCAGGGCAUCACAUAGCCCGGGCUGGACUUGAACAUGCCAUGUAAUGACAGCUUCCUCUGAACUCACGCUCCUCCUGCCUCAGGUGUUAAGAUUCCAGGCAUGUGCUACCAUGUCUGCUUUAUGGGGCGCUGGUGAAGGAACCCACACCUUUGUGCUUCUUGUAUGGUAGACACUCUCCCUAGGGCUUUGAAAACACAGGGUCUCACAAUGUUGCCCAAGUUGGGCUCACAUGAUCCUCCUGCCUCAGUCUCCUGAGUAGCUGGCACUAUAACUCCAUGCCUAGCCUGUGCGGUUUUAGAAUCCUUUCCAAAUGAACGUGGGCCCAGCACCUGGGGAGUUGCAGUAAAGGGACUGUGAGUUCAAGGCCUUCCUAGAAAGGAGGUCAUAACAUACACGGACAUUUACACCUGGCUUCCUCAGACCUCAUGCUCUGAGGCUCCCUCCAGGGUCGCAUGUGUCAGUGGCUUUGUUCCUGUGACUGCUGAGCCUGCUCCAUCAUCUUUUCUUGACACCAGACUCACUUGGUUUUCUCUUCAUGUCCACCUGCAUUUCCUCCAGAUGUUGACGCUGUAUGACAGGUGUCACCGGUGGCCUUCAAAUGGGGAGUUCCUCGCUGGCAAAGGCCUUGUCUACCCUGAUGCCUUACAAACUUGUAGAGCUGGAGCCAUCUUAGAGAGGCUGGGCAGAUGAAGCCUAUCUCAGAAAGGCUUCCUUGCCAAUAGCAAGCAAGGCCCCACAUCUCUUAAGGGUCAGCAUGGUCUGUGUGCCUGUGAGGCUGCAGCCUUCCAGAUCCCUUGGCACUGUGAAGGAAGACAUUCCUGAGGUUGAAAGCGACACAAUGGAGCACAGAGUCCUCGAUGCCGAUGCCAGGCAUGGUGGUGGUGGUCGCCAUCUCUGACCCAUCUUUGGGUCUCCAGAUAUACAAGAUGCCCUUGAAAUCCCUGUUAUAGCCUAGCCUAGAGCCAAGGGCAGUGCUCUCGCUCACCUUCCCUGCACCGAGAACCCUGUAAUAUUUACCUCCCGGGUCAUCAUCCUUAGAAAGAGGUCCCAUCCCUGCUGCCUUGCCGCGGCCGGUCUCCUCUGGAUCUCCCUACCUUCAGACGAAGACGACGGCCUUGAGUGCUUGGAUGUCGCGAACAACAGGCUUUCGGCAGGCUGCGACUCCUUGUCAGACUGCUUGGCCUCCUUCUCCAUUACUUUCUCCUUAGACUUUGUAACUAAAGUGGUAGUGCUCUUCUCCUCCUCUGAAACACACGGACGG